rnacentral:rRNA from 1 species
UACGUAGGGUGCAAGCGUUGUCCGGAAUUAUUGGGCGUAAAGAGCUCGUAGGCGGUCUGUCACGUCGGCUGUGAAAUCCCGAGGCUCAACCUCGGGUCUGCAGUCGAUACGGGCAAACUAGAGUAUUGCAGGGGAGACUGGAAUUCCUGGUGUAGCGGUGAAAUGCGCAGAUAUCAGGAGGAACACCGGUGGCGAAGGCGGGUCUCUGGGCAGUAACUGACGCUGAGGAGCGAAAGCUAGGGGAGCAAACGGG